rnacentral:rRNA from 1 species
AAAAGUUUAUAUGCAAAUCGAACGAGAGACCUUCAGGCUCUCUAGUGGCGAACGGGUGAGUAACACGUAGGGAACCCUUUAACGCACCGGGAAUACGCUCUGGAAACGGAGAACAACCUUGAUGUACAGGAAGGAGGCAUCUUCUUUCUGUGAAACAUCCUUUCGGGGAUGGGGCGCGGAUGGACCUGCGCCCCAUUAGUUGGUUGGCGGGGUAAAGGCCCACCAAGACGAUGAUGCAUAGCCGGCCUGAGAGGGCGGACGGCCACAUUGGGACUGAGACACGGCCCAGACUCCUGCGGGAGGCAGCAGUAGGGAAUUUUCGUCAAUGGGCGCAAGCCUGAACGAGCGAUGCCGCGUGAGUGAAGAAGGCCUUCGGGUCGUAAAGCUCUGUUGCGGGGGAAAAAAGGCAGCAUCAGGAAAUGGGUGCUGACUGAUGGUGCCCCGCCAGAAAGUCACGGCUAACUACGUGCCAGCAGCCGCGGUAAUACGUAGGUGGCGAGCGUUAUCCGGAAUGAUUGGGCGUAAAGGGUGCGCAGGCGGUCCUGCAAGUCUGGAGUGAAACGCAUGAGCUCAACUCAUGCAUGGCUUUGGAAACUGGAGGACUGGAGAGCAGGAGAGGGCGGUGGAACUCCAUGUGUAGCGGUAAAAUGCGUAAAUAUAUGGAAGAACACCAGUGGCGAAAGUGGCCGCCUGGCCUGUUGCUGACGCUGAUGUUCUAAAGCGUGGGGAACAAAUAGGAUUAAAUACCCU